AGUGAACGCUGGCGGUAGGCCUAACACAUGCAAGUCGAACGGCAGCACAGUAAGAGCUUGCUCUUACGGGUGGCGAGUGGCGGACGGGUGAGGAAUACAUCGGAAUCUACUUUUUCGUGGGGGAUAACGUAGGGAAACUUACGCUAAUACCGCAUACGACCUACGGGUGAAAGCAGGGGAUCUUCGGACCUUGCGCGAUUGCAUGAGCCGAUGUCGGAUUAGCUAGUUGGCGGGGUAACGGCCCACCAAGGCGACGAUCCGUAGCUGGUCUGAGAGGAUGAUCAGCCACACUGGAACUGAGACACGGUCCAGACUCCUACGGGAGGCAGCAGUGGGGAAUAUUGGACAAUGGGCGGAAGCCUGAUCCAGCCAUACCGCGUGGGUGAAGAAGGCCUUCGGGUUGUAAAGCCCUUUUGUUGGGAAAGAAAAGCAGCAGGUUAAUACCCCGCUGUUCUGACGGUACCCAAAGAAUAAGCACCGGCUAACUUCGUG
rnacentral:rRNA from 1 species